CCACGUGUGGGAAGAAGCAUUUCGGUGUGUAAACCACUGUCGUGAGGGAAUAAGGCUGUUUUUCGGCGCAGUUGAAUGUACCUCGAGAGGAAGCACCGGCAAACUUCGUGCCAGCAGCCGCGGUAAUACGAGGGGUGCAAGCGUUGUUCGGAAUCACUGGGCGUAAAGGGAGCGCAGGCGGAAGCUCAAGCGGAUUGUACAAUACCGGGGCCCAACCCCGGACCUGCAGUCCGAACUGGGUCUCUUGGAUAGUUCAGGGGCAAGGCGGAAUUCC
rnacentral:rRNA from 1 species